UUUUCAUGCAGCUUAGGCAAAGUUGUUCGUGAUGGAGUGAUUUUGCCUGAAGGAGCCAUUUAGGAAUGGGUUUAUCCAAAGAUGAUCGUCACGCAACUGGUCCUGUUUGUCGCACUGAGGUUAGACCCCUGCCACAGCAGUUAAUCUAAAAGCUUGCUUUGGAGUAAUUUGUGCUGGAUCGUACGUUACCUGUAUUACAGCUGGCUGUCACCAGGGGGGCUCCUUGGUAAAGAAAGCAACAGCUGCUCCAGCAAUUCAGCUCUGCUUGUGGUGCUGGUGCCUUGGAACAGGACUUGAGGUGUGGAAGCAGCAGGUCAGCAUUGAAGCACGAUGCUUAAAACUACUACCCCUCAUCCUAUCACUGCACUCCCCCAUAAGGAGCCACUCCUCAGCCUUUCUAUAGGCCCUUUCAGUACUGGGAGGCUGCUCUGUCUCCCCGAAGCCUUCUCUUCUCUAGGGUGAAUGACCACAACCGCCUCAGCCUGUCCUCAGAGGGGAGAUGCCGGAGCCCUCGGAUCAUCCUCAUGGCCUCCUCUGGACUCGCUCCAACAAAUCCAUGUCCUUCCUGUGCUGGAGACUCCAGAACUGAAUGCAGGACUGCAGAUGAGCUCUCACAAGAGCAGAGUAGAGGCGUAAAACUUUUCUAGACCUCAUCUCAAAAUGAGGCACUUGUUGCUAUGUCUUCACUUUCCAAGAGUCUUGCUGUACUGUCUACAAGAAGAGUAAUUUCCCACAAGGCGGCCACAUUUUCUUCGUUUUGAUCUUAAUUAGGACAAAUAUGUGAAAAAUGACGUUGCCCUUAAAAGUUAAUAAAAUAUUUCUCUAAACAGCUGUUAAUUAUCACGUAAAGCCACUGCCCUCAGUCUUCAUUGACAUGGUACAGAAAUUGUGUAUUUUUAAAUACUGAACAGUCAAAAGGAUAUUUAUCUUGGGAAAAGAGAAGCUGGCAUGGAGCCGGCAUGUGGCAGCAUGACAAGCGAGUGUCACAGGUGAGUUUUCCUGGGCCUGGUUUUAUCUAAGUUGCUGUGACUAAGGCAGAGAAACUUGUGUCUGAGCUGGUAAUGCCAGAAUCCUAUUAGAGCUGAGGAAACAGAAGGGGCAACUCAUCUGGCUGAUGCUUGUUUCUUUCCAUGGAUAGUACAGACAACAUUAGUGAUUAACUCCUGUUUUGGCAUUUACAUCUGCUCAGAUGAAUUCCAGCUUUACAGAGCUGGAAUCACAGCAUCUUCCUGAUGCAUUUGAAGCUUGUGGGCUUUGUAAAAGUGAUUCUCAGUGCUGCCCAGAUGCUUGAUCCCUCGCACCAUGCUGGGGUCCAGACUGUGCUCUUCCAGUUCCCUCUUCUGUGCCUCAUAAAACCUUUUCCAGACCUUUGCUGAGUGGACAUUCUACUGCUUGAUCCCUGAAACCAAGGAGGGCAGCUCAACACUAACACGCUGGGCUGUGAGCAGCAGGCGAAUACGGCAGCUGUUUGUGUAGGAACGAGAGCAUCACAAUAUCUAUUGAAACCCACAGUCGUAUACAAGCUCCUUGCAUUGCUUCACCUGUCAAGUUCAUGAGUGCCUGUCUCCCGAAGGUGCCUCUUUUCUUACUGAUCUCAUUGGUUUGAGCUUUCAUUUCUUCUUUGUGUGACCUGUUUUCCUUACAUCUCUCCUCUAUGCUUGCUCUCUCCCACCUGGUGCUCUUGAUGUUGUGUCAAGGCAGCUGAAAUGAAGAGUGCAAGCGAUGUGGCGUUCAUGUCGAUUUUUUCCAUUUGAUGCUUGCGUCUGCAAAAUGUGGCUGAAAGAAGAAAGGAACGGUGGAACAUCUCUGCCCAGGUACACGCAGGUAGUCUUGAGCUUGCAUGGAGCGGAUGCUCAGGUUGUGUCUGCAUUCAUGAAGGCUGGUACCUGAGCUGUGCUGCAGCCCCUUUGCUCUCAGAAACCACCUUUUGGAACCUAUAACUCUCCAAACAAAAACUUUGUCUUGCAAGAGUCUAAGAGAGAGGCAGACUAAAAUUUAGGUCAUGUUUAAUCUGUAUCAAAGAUCAACUUGUUGAAUGGACCUUCAAAGUGUGUGAUAGAUGUGAGGAGCAUGUAAUAAUAAACCGAAAUCAAAGUAGUAGGUUUUAUGGAUGGACAUAAACAGCUUAUUUACAUAUUAGCUUAUGUAUUUACUAACAUACAUAAAUGUUUAUGUAUUUUUUGAUCAUUAUUGACACUUUCUGAAGACUCUGAACAAAGCCUUCAUAAUAAACAUUUCUGCAGUCUAACGGUGGGCUGCUGCUUACAAUAAAAUGUGUUUUCUGUGCUUUCCUGCACUACAUCGCAUUGUCAGCAUUCCAUCAUUCUCAGCUUUUGCUGUUUUUUUUCAUUUUUCACUCACUUCUGUGACAAAACCUCAAAUAGAGGAUUUCUUCUUUCUUGGCUCUAAUGUAUUUGACACGUCGUUGGAGAAAAACUCUGAAACUUGUGAUGUUUUUUCCUUUUGCUGAUAGACCAGUGAUGAGGACAAAGACUGUCCCUCUGAUCCCGGGCAAUUGCAAGGUGAGAGUUUUUGGUUGCUGAAUGGGGUGGUGGGAAACUGUGCUUGAUGGCACCAGGCACCUGAAAAAAUGCUGCAGUUCGGUGUCUCCUGAUGGCAACUCCUGAUCAGUGGAGGAUGGGGAUGUGUGUGCGCUGUCCCUCUGCAGUGAGUAAAUGAAAAACAGGAGGUCUGAGUGGCCAAAGGGGCACAGGCAGGCCUGGAGGGGUGAAGCUCCCGUUGGCACAAAGUCGAGGCUGAGCAUGUGUGGGGCCACCAACCCAUUCCAGAUGCCACCUGGCCCAGAGCAACAAGAGAGCAUGCACCGAAGUGAGCUUCCCAGAACUCAGCGCAUUUCCAGGGUCCCUUGUCAGUCACUGCCCAGGGCUGGGAUAGAGGUGGAACCCAGGAAGAUACAGAAGACAGACUGGCAAAUGGCUUUGUGUGGUACCACCACUAAGCUUGGAUGUGUGUAUCUAUGGA